rnacentral:rRNA from 1 species
UACAGAGGGGGCAAGCGUUGUUCGGAAUUACUGGGCGUAAAGGGCGCGUAGGCGGCCCGCUAAGUCGAACGUGAAAUCCCCAGGCUUAACCUGGGAACUGCGUCCGAUACUGGCAGGCUUGAAUCCGGGAGAGGGAUGUGGAAUUCCAGGUGUAGCGGUGAAAUGCGUAGAUAUCAGGAAGAACACCAAUGGCGAAGGCAGCUCUCUGGGACGGUACUGACGCUGAAACGCGAAAGCGUGGGGAGCGAACAGG